rnacentral:rRNA from 1 species
UACGUAGGGUGCUAGCGUUGUCCGGAUUUAUUGGGCGUAAAGAGCUCGUAGGUGGUUUGUCGCGUUGUUCGUGAAAACCGGGGGCUUAACCCUCGGCGUGCGGGCGAUACGGGCAGACUGGAGUACUGCAGGGGAGACUGGAAUUCCUGGUGUAGCGGUGGAAUGCGCAGAUAUCAGGAGGAACACCGGUGGCGAAGGCGGGUCUCUGGGCAGUAACUGACGCUGAGGAGCGAAAGCGUGGGGAGCGAACAGG